CCCAUUUUCUCUUGCUCCCACCAUGUAAGAAGUGCCUUUUGCUUCCCACCAUGAUUCUGAGGCCUCCCCAGCCAUGUGGAACUGUAAGUCCAAUUACACUUCUUUUUCUACCCAGUCCAGGUAUAUCUUUGUCAGCAGCAUGAAAAUGGACUAAUACAGUCACAAACACAUAGAACUUAGCAAUUGAUGAAACUUACACAUACAGGACCUCUGACCAAUGAAGGUUGAAAACAAUGGGUAUGCAUGAUAAAGAAAAGAAGCUUUAAUAACCAGAAUAGAUUCACUGAGAAUAAUUCAAGUUAAGUAAACUUAUUUUCUUAUUUUAUAGGUUUCUAGACUGAUAAACUAGAGAAAUGAACUAUUUUUCCCAGGUCUCUGGUUCAUUCCUACUUGUUUGGUAUGGGAUAAUAGUGAAAUGGUGAAGACUAAAGGAAAACAAGUUUAGGAGAAAGAAUACAUUAAAUUCAUGGUAUCUUGAGAUAUACCUGUAGUGAUGUGAGGUAGAGAGUUGAAUACAAAAAUGUGAAGAUUAAAAGUAUUGGUUGGAGAAAUAUAUUUUGAAAAGGAUGGAGAGGCAGGAGAAACAAAGUAAAUGGAGAGGUAGAAAACAAUUGGAUCACGAGGUCUCUUAGAAUUUGGAAAAGAAAUGUUUCAAGAUCAUGGUAGUAAACUGCAUUGUUGAGUUCUGCUAGGGAAUUUAGUAAGGUCAGGAAAGAAACGUUUCCAUUAAGUUUGGAAACACGGUAUUUCUCUAAUGACUUAUUAUUAUGUCUUCAAUGUAAUUUUUCUCUUAUUUGUAACUUCAGUUUCUCAGUUGUUACCUGAAAUAAGUACAGAUGAAGUUUGUCAAAAGUAAUGUACAUCUCUUUUUCUUAUAGAAUAUCACUCGUUUGCCUGAGGAAAAUUCACAUCUUAAUUACUUUGAGGAAAUCUCCAAGUGCACUGACAUUAUCAAUAGGUUCUUUUACCAUGUGAUGCCUUCUGCCAUGCGAGAAAGCCCUCACCAGAUGCAAUCCCUCAGUCUUGAAUUUUCCAGCCUCCAGAAUCAUGAGACAAAUUUAUAUUAUUUAUAAAUUACCCAGUCUGUGGUAUUCUGUUAUGGCAACAGAAAACAGACUAAGACACCAAUCUAUUGAAGCCUAAUAAAGUAAAAACUUCUGUAUUGAAAAUAAAAUAUCUUGGGGGGAGUUUGUUUAAUAAAAAUGGAGCUAUAAUUAUUGUUGUAGCUAUAAAUUAUUACCAAGAGUCCUCUAGCUAAUUUGAAGGCUUUAAUGUGUCUAUAGUUAGAAAUGAGAAAUUUACUGCAAUAAACUACGUAGUAUCUGUUGCUCUUUGAAAACAAAGAAAUCUGUUGUAUGGCAGCCGUAUAGCCCUGGAGCAUCCUGAUGAACUGUAAACAAUCCAGGCUCUACUGUGUGUGGGGUAAAAAAAAAAAAAAAAAAAUUAGCUGAUGUUUAAUAUAGAAUUGUAUUCUAGCCGUGUAACCAAAGGCUUUAAAAGCACCUUUUCCUUCUCUUUCAGAGGCUGGUAUUAAUAAAAUUACUUGGUAAUUUGGCAGUUGUAAAUUGUGACCCUCUGUCAGUGGCUAGGUCACAGAUGUCUCCCUCCUUUCCUUUUUAAACACUGAUGGGUUCAACACAGUAAACAUUGACUUCAUAAAUAAGCAGAGUCAGAGUACUAGGUUCUAGUCACUUCCAUAAUGGAAAGUAAGCAGAGCAAUUUAAUAGUGGGUGUGGGAAGUGGAAGGAGGGGGAACCAGGAUCAUAGUCAAGCAAAUAAUGGAAUGAAUACCCUAUUUAAGUAUGCCAGACAUACUCGUGUAAAAGAAGCUUGUGGGUCACCAGAUACUACAGGAAUGGCAUGCUGGGUUGAUCCCAUAAUUAAGGGAGAAGACAUAAGUCAGGAGCAUCUCAGACCAAAUGUCUUGCGCUACUAUACACUAUAAUUAUUACUCUUAUGAGUCUUACUUCAAUAGGCACUUUGCACUGAUGAUAUGAAAUGCCUUCUCCUUUCAGUAUCAAAAGUUAAAGAGUAAAGUGUAUGGAAGAUUGGAGAGUCAGCUAAUA
rnacentral:lncRNA from 10 species